rnacentral:lncRNA from 1 species
UAGCCUUAGGGUAGUGACAGCCCUAACGGUCGACGUAUUCCACCACAUUCGGAUCGGUGUUUGUAGGACCGUAGUCAGACCUUCCUAGCCCCCUUCUCAUCUCUUUCUGUGGUUAGUGCUCUGAUGUCCCGAUAUAGAUAAUCUUGAAGUAAUUCUUGAUUCUUAGAUCAACUAGAGAACUCUCAGGAAACUUCCUCUCUUCCCACCCCUCUCUUCCCGGGUGAAAGGUACAUCGGUAUCCGUGCGCUUGCGGAUUUUUCUGUUUGCGUUUAAAAUACCCAACAAGCUUUCUGGCGCCGUUGCCGGGGAACGGUAGCUGUGCUAGUUUCGAACCAAGUCGUCCGUGUAUCCUUUUUCUUUUCUUUUUUUUACCACACUCACCUUACCAUUUUCACCAUACCACAUGGAUUUCACUCUAAGCAUUAAUGAGCAUGGAAUUUAUUUCAUAGCCACUUCAUGCUCAUAUGCAACAUCUUACCAAUCCAUUGGUUUUUCCAUCAUCACCACAUUCGAGAUCUCCAACCCCCUCUUCCUUUCUAUUCAUAAAAACUUUAAAAGAGCGGUUGUCGAUGCAUAUGUCUAUAAUAAAUUUUGCAGAUCUCGUUGAGUUGAUCUUGAUAUAGGUCAGCGUUGGAGGAGAAACCACUUCACUGACAUAAAUUGAUGGUUUCCCAAGGACAAGCUUAGCGUCCUAAAAUAAGCACUGAUCAGAUUGUAACAUGAGCUUUUAAUUAUUUGCAACAUUACCUUGUGUGUUGAGCAUAUAAGGAUAAUUGUAAAAAUAUUCCUUCGGGUAUUCUUGUCACUAACCUUUUUAGGAUUGGAGC